AACGUAGGACACAAGCGUUAUCCGGAGUUACUGGGCGUAAAGGGCGUGUAGGCGGAUCAAUAAGUCUAUUCUGAAAGCUCCUGGCUAAACUGGGAGAGGCGAAUGGAGACUGUUGGUCUAGAGUGAGGAAGAGGAGAGUGGAAUUCCUGGUGUAGCGGUGAAAUGCGCAGAUAUCAGGAAGAACACCUAUGGCGAAGGCAGCUCUCUGGGACGGUACUGACGCUGAGACGCGAAAGCGUGGGGAGCGAACAGG
rnacentral:rRNA from 1 species